ACACACACACACACACACACACACACACACACACACACACACACUGUAUGUAUGAAUUGAGUGAUUCUGCCUUGUAAUGGUGUAUCUAUGUAAAGUGUGUGUGUGUGUGUGUGUGUGUGUGUGUGU
rnacentral:miRNA from 1 species